CUUACCUGGUCUUGACAUCCACGGAAGUUUUCAGAGAUGAGAAUGUGCCUUCGGGAACCGUGAGACAGGUGCUGCAUGGCUGUCGUCAGCUCGUGUUGUGAAAUGUUGGGUUAAGUCCCGCAACGAGCGCAACCCUUAUCCUUUGUUGCCAGCGGUUAGGCCGGGAACUCAAAGGAGACUGCCAGUGAUAAACUGGAGGAAGGUGGGGAUGACGUCAAGUCAUCAUGGCCCUUACGACCAGGGCUACACACGUGCUACAAUGGCGCAUACAAAGAGAAGCGACCUCGCGAGAGCAAGCGGACCUCAUAAAGUGCGUCGUAGUCCGGAUUGGAGUCUGCAACUCGACUCCAUGAAGUCGGAAUCGCUAGUAAUCGUGGAUCAGAAUGCCACGGUGAAUACGUUCCCGGGCCUUGUACACACCGCCCGUCACACCAUGGGAGUGGGUUGCAAAAGAAGUAGGUAGCUUAACCUUCGGGAGGGCGCUUACCACUUUGUGAUUCAUGACUGGGGUGAAGUCGUAACAAGGUAACCGUAGGGGAACCUGC
rnacentral:rRNA from 1 species